GGAGAGAUGACCGAGCGGCUUAAGGUGGCAGUCUUGAAAACUGCUGCGGGGGAAACUCUGCCGGGGGUUCAAAUCCCUCUCUCUCCG
rnacentral:tRNA from 1 species